UACGUAGGUGGCAAGCGUUGUCCGGAAUUAUUGGGCGUAAAGCGCGCGCAGGCGGUCCUUUAAGUCUGAUGUGAAAGCCCACGGCUCAACCGUGGAGGGUCAUUGGAAACUGGGGGACUUGAGUGCAGAAGAGGAAAGCGGAAUUCCACGUGUAGCGGUGAAAUGCGUAGAGAUGUGGAGGAACACCAGUGGCGAAGGCGGCUCACUGGACCGGAACUGACGCUGAGGCGCGAAAGCGUGGGGAGCAAACAGG
rnacentral:rRNA from 1 species